AUUAUCGCUUUGUAUAUAUCUAGUGGUUCUUCUAGUUCGCGGUUUACCGUUGAACAGUGUUACAUUGAGUAAAUUGGAGUGCUCCAAGCAGGCGUUCGCCUGAACAUCUCAGCAUUGAAUAACAAUACAAGACCUUAGUCUUAGUUGUUGGUUCAGAGACUAUGAGUAAUGAUUGAUAAGGACAUUCGGGGACAUUUGUACUUGCUGGAGAGAGGUAAAAUUCUAAGACCCAGUAAAGACAAACAAAUGCGAAAGCACUUGUCCAGUGUGUGCCUGUUAAUCAAGGACGAAAGUUGGGGGAUCGAAGACGAUUAGAUACCGUCGUAGUCCCAACCAUAAACUAUGCCGACUGAGUAUCGGUGAAGAGAUUAUAUAUCUUCCUCGGAACUCUAAGAGAAAUCUAAGUUUUUGGGCCCUGGGGGGAGUAUGGUCGCAAGGCUGAAACUUAAAGGAAUUGACGGAAGGGCACCACCAGGAGUGGAG
rnacentral:ncRNA from 1 species